GAUGAACGCUAGCGGCAGGCCUAAUACAUGCAAGUCGUACGGCAACACAGUUGCGAGCAAUCGCAACCGGUGGCGAGUGGCGCACGGGUGAGUAACGCGUAUGUAACCUACCCUUCUCCGGGGCAUAACUCCGCGAAAGCGGUGCUAAUAUCCCAUACCCAACUCAUCAAGACAUCUUCUUGAGUUGAAAGCAGCAAUGCGGUGAAGGAUGGGCAUGCGUCCCAUUAGCUGGUUGGUGAGGUAAUGGCCCACCAAGGCUACGAUGGGUAGGGGUUCUGAGAGGAAAGCCCCCCAACUGGUACUGAGACACGGACCAGACUCCUACGGGAGGCAGCAGUAAGGAAUAUUGGUCAAUGGGCGGAAGCCUGAACCAGCCAUGCCGCGUGCAGGAUGACGGCCCUACGGGUUGUAAACUGCUUUUCCCCGGGGCGAACUAACCCCCUCGCGACGGGGGAGUGGCCGGUACCGGGGGAAGUAAGGAGUCGGCUAACGUCCGUGCCAGCAGCCGCGGUAACACG
rnacentral:rRNA from 1 species